AGAAAAUGGCAAAGCUACCUCCUUUCCAGGACCCGUGUGCUUCCCAUGUAGGCUCCUUGCCAGAACCAGGCGUGAAAUGUGGGCAUGGCCUUUCUACUGUGCCCCUGAAGGAUGCAGGCCACAGUGCUAGGCACAGUGUGCCUAGGGCUCCAGGGAACGCGGGUCACCCAGCGACACUGCGCUCUCCCUUCGGAGUUCAGCUCCUCCUGAGUGAACAGUUUCAAAGGCCUAGGAGGGAAACAGAACCAGAUGAGGUGUGAUGCCGCUGAGUAGACUCUCUGAUGUGGAUUCUAAACUGUGUUUCUUCUGUCUCAGAGAAAAGAAUUGUCUCCAUUUUUCUUCUUUGAUCUUACUGCAAUUUUAAACGCUGCUUUAAAGAAACAGGGAAGCCUGGCGUGCUGCAGGACAUGGGGUCGCAGAGUCAGACAAAUGAGCAACAGAACUGAACUUAAAGAAACUAACGUUCCAUGAUCCUGUGAAACGGGACAAACUUCUGUGUGUGAAAGGUUCAGGAUCCUCCAGGCAUCUCUGAGGAUGUUUUGGCCGCCUGGUCCUGCCUCUCCCAUCGGACGCCAGCUUUGCACUCGGAUGGGCCUUUUCUUUAAAGACACGGAGCACGGAGGCUGUCUUCUCCAGAUUAUCUUCUGUGAGUAAGGAAAUGACUCAGAAUGAAAGUGUGAGUAGACAGUACGUGGCGGUGUCGGAACCACAGCCAUUCUGCUGCCGGCGGAGGUUUUGGUUUCUCUUCU
ensembl:lncRNA